CCUACGGGAGGCAGCAGUGAGGAAUAUUGGUCAAUGGACGAGAGUCUGAACCAGCCAAGUAGCGUGAAGGAUGACUGCCCUAUGGGUUGUAAACUUCUUUUAUAUGGGAAUAAAACGUUCCACGUGUGGGAUUUUGUAUGUACCAUAUGAAUAAGGAUCGGCUAACUCCGUGCCAGCAGCCGCGGUAAUACGGAGGAUCCGAGCGUUAUCCGGGUUUAUUGGGUUUAAAGGGAGCGUAGGUGGAUUGUUAAGUCAGUUGUGAAAGUUUGCGGCUCAACCGUAAAAUUGCAGUUGAAACUGGCAGUCUUGAGUACAGUAGAGGUGGGCGGAAUGCGUGGUGUAGCGGUGAAAUGCUUAGAUAUCACGAAGAACUCCGAUUGCGAAGGCAGUUCACUGGACUGCAACUGACACUGAGGCUCGAAAGUGUGGGUAUCAAACAGGAUUAGAUACCCGGGUAGUC
rnacentral:rRNA from 1 species